rnacentral:rRNA from 1 species
UGGGGAAUAUUGCGCAAUGGGCGAAAGCCUGACGCAGCGACGCCGCGUGAGGGAUGAAGGUUUUCGGAUCGUAAACCUCUGUCAGAAGGGAAGAAACCGCACUGUGCUAAUCAGCAGUGCCUUGACGGUACCUUCAAAGGAAGCACCGGCUAACUCCGUGCCAGCAGCCGCGGUAAUACGGAGGGUGCAAGCGUUAAUCGGAAUUACUGGGCGUAAAGCGCACGUAGGCUGCUUUGUAAGUCAGGGGUGAAAUCCCACGGCUCAACCGUGGAACUGCCUUUGAUACUGCUUAGCUUGAAUCCGGGAGAGGGUGGCGGAAUUCCAGGUGUAGGAGUGAAAUCCGUAGAUAUCUGGAGGAACAUCAGUGGCGAAGGCGGCCACCUGGAACGGUAUUGACGCUGAGGUGCGAAAGCGUGGGGAGCAAACAGG